UAUUGGUCAAUGGAGGCAACUCUGAACCAGCCAAGUCGCGUGAAGGAAGACGGCCCUACGGGUUGUAAACUUCUUUUGUACAGGAAUAAAACCAUCCACGCGUGGAUAUUUGCAUGUACUGUACGAAUAAGGAUCGGCUAACUCCGUGCCAGCAGCCGCGGUAAUACGGAGGAUCCGAGCGUUAUCCGGAUUUAUUGGGUUUAAAGGGUGCGCAGGCGGGAUGUUAAGUCGGCGGUGAAAUUUUGCGGCUCAACCGUAAAAGUGCCUUCGAAACCGGCAUUCUUGAGUAUAGAUGAAGUAGGCGGAAUUUGUGGUGUAGCGGUGAAAUGCAUAGAUAUCACGAGGAACUCCGAUUGCGCAGGCAGCUUACUAAAGCUAUAACUGACGCUCAUGCACGAAG
rnacentral:rRNA from 1 species